AUAAAUAACAGAUUAUUUGUAUUAAAAUAUCAAAACUAAAACGUGAUAAUAUUUUUUGCAUACUACAUGUAUAGUUAUUUAAAUGAUUUUUAAGUUUAAAAGUAACCAAUAAUCAAUACAAACAUACCCACACAAACUUAAUAGUUAAAAUAAUAAAACUUAGCAUAGUCAGGUACUGCUAGCCCAAAAAGAAAGCAAGAAUAUUUAGGUAAAGAAUGGCAUCCUGCAAGUGACAUUUUCAUCUUACAAGUGAGUUUUGCAUGGAAAAAUACAUGCGCAUCUAAAAUAUUCUUUGGAGAUAAAUCCAUCUCUAGACUUCACUCUUUUAAAAUAUUUUCCCCGGCAAGGCCUGCACCGAAUAGGUUUUGCUCCGAAUCUCGUUGUCUUUGACUCUUUAAUACAAUUAGUACUUGCCAUGCAAAUUCCUUCGUGAUUCUCUACGUGAUGACACUCCCAAGGUAUCAUUUUAGACACUAGUGGGGCACUCGGAGACUCGGAGUGGCCCUAACGCCUAACAAGAAAAUCAGAGAAUAGAAGAAGAUUAAUCGGAGAUUCGUUUUAGGGUUAUUUUAUUAAAUUAAUGAAAAAAUAUUAAGUAUAUGAUAUUAAUUAUAUGUAUAGUUCCAUUUCUCUUAAUGGAAAGAACAAUAUAACAUGCAAACCUGUAAUAUUGGCUUCAAAAUUAUAGUUAAUAAAUGUAAACAUAUUUUUAAACCCAAAUUUAUGAUUUUCAUAAAAUUUUGAACAGAAAUUAUCAUAAAAUAUCAUAUAAUUCCCAGUUUAAAUGUUUGAUAACCGAUAAAAAAAGUAGACGGGGAUUAGUCAUUAAUCGAAGCGAAUAAAGUGGGUCUAGUGAUUACACAGAGAGUAAUCAUAGUUAGGCGGAGAUUUUUUAAACAGGGCUCCAAAGGUAUGAACCAAGCUUUCACAUCUUGCAUUUUAUUUAUAUUAUAUUGUUCAUGAAAAAAUGUUGUAAUGGUUGUUGGUAGAAAUCAAAGUUUAUUAGUUGUUGGUUCCCAUCUGUUUUCUUUUUGCGGAAAAAUUAACUAUCUUUGGAAAUAUAUAUAUAUAUAUAUAUAUAUUUCCCUUUAAUUUUAGUUUUGUUGGUGAUUUGAAACACCAACAAAACUAAAACUAAAGGGAAACUAAUAUUUUACCUUGCACGUGACUCCAAACAACGAGUAAUAUCAAAAUUGAAGAAGAAACCAUGAACAAAGUAGCAGAUCUCAUGACUGAUCAAUAUAAAUUAAAUUUGGAGAAAUUCUAUUUUGUUUUCUUUGUAACACACUACUCGGUAAUAAGUAUAUGUAAAUACACUCCUAAUUAUAUAGCCAUUAAUCUACUAAAUUUUGGGGGAAAAGAGAG
rnacentral:lncRNA from 1 species